rnacentral:rRNA from 1 species
ACAAAAGGUGUUGGUUGGUCUAGACAGCAGGACGGUGGCCAUGGAAGUUGGAAUCCGCUAAGGAGUGUGUAACAACUCACCUGCCAAAUCAACCAGCCCUGAAAAUGGAUGGCGCUGGAGCGUCGGACCUAUACUGAACCGUCACUGCAAGCUGAGUCGGUAAUGUGGUGUGAGGGCAAGCCGCAUGACUCAGGCGCGGAAUCGCGGUGACGAGUAGGAGGGUCGCCGUGGUGAGCGGGAAGCUUCGGGCGUGAGUCCGAGUGGAGCCGCCACGGGUGCAGAUCUUGGUGGUAGUAGC